CCUGGUUGAUCCUGCCAGUAGUCAUAUGCAUGUCCCAAAGAUUAAGCCAUGCAUGUCUAAGUACACACUUUGGUAAAGUGAAACCGCGAAUGGCCCAUUAAAUCAGCUACAAUUUAUUAGAUCGUACACUGUUACUUGGAUAACUGUGGGAAUUCUAGAGCUAAUACAUGCCGAGAGUCUCUGCUCUUCGGGGCAGAGCGCAGUUAUUAGACCAAAACCAGCCGUAUUCUUCGGGGUACGCUCUUUUGGUGACUCUGGAUAACCUUCAGCCGAUCGCAUGGCCUCGUGCCGGCGACGUAUCUUUCAAGUGUCUGCCCUAUCAUCUUUCGAUGGUACGUGAUAUGCCUACCAUGGUGAUAACGGGUAACGGGGAAUCAGGGUUCGAUUCCGGAGAGGGAGCCUGAGAAAUGGCUACCACAUCCAAGGAUGGCAGCAGGCGCGCUAAUUACCCACUCCCAGCUUGGGGAGGUAGUGACGAAAAAUAACAAUGCGGGACUCUAAGAGGCCCCGUAAUUGGAAUGAGUACACCUUAAAUCGUUUAACGAGUAUCAAUUGGAGGGCAAGUCUGGUGCCAGCAGCCGCGGUAAUUCCAGCUCCAAUAGCGUAUAUUAAAGUUGCUGCAGUUAAAAAGCUCGUAGUUGGAUCUGGGGCUUGAGGUCGCUGUCUAUCGUUUCGGCGAUGACGGUGAUGCUCAGCUCUGCUUGCCGGUGACUGUUGCGGUGUUCUUCACUGAGCGCUGUAGCAGCACGGCACGUUUACUUUGAAAAAAUUAGAGUGCUCAAAGCGUGCUUGUCGCUUGAAUAAUGUUGCAUGGAAUAAUGGAAUAGGACCUCGGUUCUAUUUUGUUGGUUUUCGGAGCUUGAGGUAAUGAUUAAGAGGGACGAACGGGGGCAUUCGUAUUGCGGUGUUAGAGGUGAAAUUCUUGGAUCGCCGCAAGACGGACUACUGCGAAAGCAUUUGCCAAGAACGCUUUCAUUAAUUAAGAACGAAAGUCAGAGGUUCGAAGACGAUCAGACACCGUCCUAGUUCUGACCAUAAACGAUGCCGACCAGCGAUCCGUAGUGGUUGCUUUAUGGACCCUACGGGCAGCCUCCGGGAAACCAAAGUAUUUGGGUUCCGGGGGAAGUAUGGUUGCAAAGCUGAAACUUAAAGGAAUUGACGGAAGGGCACACCAGGAGUGGAGCCUGCGGCUUAAUUUGACCCAACACGGGAAAACUCACCCGGUCCGGACACCGUAAGGAUUGACAGACUGAUAGCUCUUUCAUGAUUCGGUGGAUGGUGGUGCAUGGCCGUUCUUAGUUGGUGGAGUGAUUUGUCUGGUUAAUUCCGAUAACGAACGAGACUCUAGCCUGCUAAGUAGUGUUGCUAUUGUUAUAUGGUUGACACUUCUUAGAGGGACAAGUGGUAUUUAGCCACGCGAAA
rnacentral:rRNA from 1 species